GAAAUCGUACCCCAAACCGACACAGGUGGUCAGGUAGAGAAUACCAAGGCGCUUGAGAGAACUCGGGUGAAGGAACUAGGCAAAAUGGUGCCGUAACUUCGGGAGAAGGCACGCUGACACGUAGGUGAAGUGAUUUACUCAUGGAGCUGAAGUCAGUCGAAGAUACCAGCUGGCUGCAACUGUUUAUUAAAAACACAGCACUGUGCAAACACGAAAGUGGACGUAUACGGUGUGACGCCUGCCCGGUGCCGGAAGGUUAAUUGAUGGGGUCAGCGUAAGCGAAGCUCCUGAUCGAAGCCCCGGUAAACGGCGGCCGUAACUAUAACGGUCCUAAGGUAGCGAAAUUCCUUGUCGGGUAAGUUCCGACCUGCACGAAUGGCGUAAUGAUGGCCAGGCUGUCUCCACCCGAGACUCAGUGAAAUUGAACUCGCUGUGAAGAUGCAGUGUACCCGCGGCAAGACGGAAAGACCCCGUGAACCUUUACUAUAGCUUGACACUGAACAUUGAGCCUUGAUGUGUAGGAUAGGUGGGAGGCUUUGAAGUGUGGACGCCAGUCUGCAUGGAGCCGACCUUGAAAUACCACCCUUUAAUGUUUGAUGUUCUAACGUGGACCCGUAAUCCGGGUUGCGGACAGUGUCUGGUGGGUAGUUUGACUGGGGCGGUCUCCUCCUAAAGAGUAACGGAGGAGCACGAAGGUUGGCUAAUCCUGGUCGGACAUCAGGAGGUUAGUGCAAUGGCAUAAGCCAGCUUGACUGCGAGCGUGACGGCGCGAGCAGGUGCGAAAGCAGGUCAUAGUGAUCCGGUGGUUCUGAAUGGAAGGGCCAUCGCUCAACGGAUAAAAGGUACUCCGGGGAUAACAGGCUGAUACCGCCCAAGAGUUCAUAUCGACGGCGGUGUUUGGCACCUCGAUGUCGGCUCAUCACAUCCUGGGGCUGAAGUAGGUCCCAAGGGUAUGGCUGUUCGCCAUUUAAAGUGGUACGCGAGCUGGGUUUAGAACGUCGUGAGACAGUUCGGUCCCUAUCUGCCGUGGGCGCUGGAGAACUGAGGGGGGCUGCUCCUAGUACGAGAGGACCGGAGUGGACGCAUCACUGGUGUUCGGGUUGUCAUGCCAAUGGCACUGCCCGGUAGCUAAAUGCGGAAGAGAUAAGUGCUGAAAGCAUCUAAGCACGAAACUUGCCCCGAGAUGAGUUCUCCCUGAGACUUAGAGUCUCCUGAAGGAACGUUGAAGACGACGACGUUGAUAGGCCGGGUGUGUAAGCGCAGCGAUGCGUUGAGCUAACCGGUACUAAUGAACCGUGAGGCUUAACCUU
rnacentral:rRNA from 1 species